GCCCGGAUAGCUCAGUUGGUAGAGCAUACGACUGAAAAUCGUAGUGUCGGUGGUUCAAAUCCACCUCCGGGCACCA
rnacentral:tRNA from 1 species